rnacentral:rRNA from 1 species
AUUGACCGCUAGCGGGAUGCUUUACACAUGCAAGUCGAACGAGUGGCGGACGGGUGAGUAAUAUAACGGAACGUGCCCAGUAGCGGGGGAUAACUACUCGAAAGCGUGGCUAAUACCCCAUCAUAUUUGAGAGGCAGAUAUCGGAUUAGCUAGUUGGUGGGGUAAAGGCUCACCAAGGCAACGAUCCGUAGCUGGUUUGAGAGGACGACCAGCCACACUGGGACGGAGACACGGCCCAGACUCCUACGGGAGGCAGCAGUGUGGAAUUUUGGACACUGGGGGAAACCCUGAUCCAGCCAUCCCGCGUGUAUGAGAAGGCCUUCGGGUUGUAAAGUACUUUUGGCAGAGAAGCGGUAUCUGCAGAAUAAGCACCGGCUAACUACGUGCCAGCAGCCGCGGUAAUUC